rnacentral:rRNA from 1 species
GAUGAACGCUAGCGGCAGGCUUAACACAUGCAAGUCGAGGGGUAGAGUUAGCUUGCUAACUUGAGACCGGCGCACGGGUGCGUAACGCGUAUGCAAUCUACCUUGUACAGAGGGAUAGCCCAGAGAAAUUUGGAUUAAUACCCCAUAGUAUUAUUGAAUGGCAUCAUUUGAUUAUUAUAGUUCCAACGGUACAAGAUGAGCAUGCGUCCCAUUAGCUAGAUGGUAAGGUAACGGCUUACCAUGGCAACGAUGGGUAGGGGUCCUGAGAGGGAGAUCCCCCACGCUGGUACUUGGAGAUGGACCAGACUCCUGCGGGAGGCAGCAGUGAGGAAUAUUGGUCAAUGGGCGCAAGCCUGAACCAGCCGUGCCGCGUGCAGGAAGACGGUCCUAUGGAUUGUAAACUGCUUUUAUACGGGAAGAAACCCUGCUACGUGUAGCAGCUUGACGGUACCGUAAGAAUAAGCAUCGGCUAACUCCGUGCCAGCCGCCGCGGUAA